AAGUCGUAACAAGGUUUCCGUAGGUGAACCUGCGGAAGGAUCAUUACAAAUAAAGCUGGCGUAGGAAGUGGGGUCUUGAUCUGUAAGUGGUAGAGCGAACAGUUCCGGGCUGCCUCCCCGAAAUGUCUUACAUGGUCCCCCCACAGCCCUGAAAGGGCCGCAAAUUUACCAACCCCUUGAUUAUCUACACUUGUUGCUUUGGGGUGCUCAAGUGCCCCAGAGGACCCAACUCUCUUGCAUUUAGUGACGUCUGAGUACUAUAUAAUAUUUAAAA
rnacentral:misc_RNA from 1 species